CGUAAGUAUGUACUCGACUUUAAUAUGCAACACUGCGGGAUUUAUACAGUGAGCAAGAAUACAUAUAUUGUGAUACGGUCAAACUCCAUACAUGAGAGGAGUAAGAAUUCAACACAUACAGAUACUGUCAUUUCCAUCUCCUUGGACUAGACAAUUUUUAUAAAAAUAUACCUGUGGCAUUACGUUAAAACUGUAGUUUAGAGAGUAGUGCAGAAUUACAUAUUAAAUACAUGAAAUCUGUUUGAAAAUAAAAUCUGUAAAAUGAUCCUUUGGAAGCAUAGACUGCAACCAAGCAGGAUAAUAGCAGACUCGGUUUGAUCGAGUAUGUUCAUGAGAGGUAAUGAAAUGUGCAACACCUCUCACGCCCCCUAGCAUCGGCUUAAGCGGAACUCUAUUACAUAUAUAUUGAAUGGACUCCAUGAUCCCAAAGGAUCAGAAAAUAUAACAAAAUUAUGUUUACAUUAUUUUGCGUAUCCUUCCAGACCUACAUUGUAAAUACCCCGCAAUUUUAUAUUUUCCGGAUAGAUAAGGUUAAGCUCUAAAUUAUUUCGUAUUGUUUUUUGUUGCUGCUCUCAGCAUCACAGUCAUGUAAAUCACAACGGAAAUGACGUAGACAAUUCUUGACGUACUGUUUGACGUCCGUAACUAUAAGCACCAACGUCUUAUAUAGUCAAGAGCUAGUUUGCGGAGAUCGAGAAAUCUUUCUUCUCAUCAAAUGAAUAGAUUCUCUAACAUUGCCAUUUCUUCUAGAGUUCAUCUCAACUCCAAAUAGUUUUAGAGAGGACUUUAUGAGACGAGAUUUAUCAUGAAUAAGAAGACACAAGCUGAUGCCAAUUCUUAAUGAUUCUGAUACGACCAUCAGCUGAGCCAGUGAUACAGCGCAGAUAUAUAAAUUCAAGGCACAAUACCUCUCUGCAAAAGUUAAAGAAUGUCAUAUUUAUACAUUAAAUUCUGAUAAAGACUAAAGUUAUAUAGCACAGAAAGCUGACAGUUAGAUCAGGAAUUGAGGUUAAGCACCGUUUUUCAACAGUAUAUCAAUUCUUCAAUGGCAACAAUUAACCUAACCAGUGUUCCUGGAUUCUGUACUAGUACUAGCCUGUUCUCCACAACUGCCAAAGUCUCCACAUGAAUCAGAGGUGGAGGAUGAACCAGACAAAAGUCAUCAGGAAUAAGAUAAGCUUAGCCCCGUGACUGAACUCAUGAUCCGUAGAUACAUGCUCUCCCUUCUCCAAUUAGACAUACCCGGGGACAUUUCCUGUGGUUUUGGUAGUAAUACACAGAUUUCCCUAAAAUUUUCAACUUACUGUAGUAGAUAAUAACUUGACUAAUUAAAAGUAUUUGAUAUUUUUCAAUACAAAAUAUCAGCGCAACUACCAAGUGUCACUUUAAAGAUAUAAGACUGUUGUUUCUGUAGGGCUGUAAACAAUGGAUCUGAGAAAAUAUUACGAAGAGUAUUAGGACAACAUAUUGGAAAUCGCUUAAAGCUAGUCAAAACUUUUGCAUCAAGAUGGGCCUGUUCAUGUUUUUCACGUCAAACAACACGAUGUAGACUUCAUCUUAAGAUCAAAAAGGCAUUUACAUAAGGCCACUCUCAUUCAGUGUUUACUUAACAACAUGGAACCUACUUGUAAAGGUAAACAAUUAAUGCUACCAGCAUUUUGAAGAUCCUAAUUUGAAUUUUAUUUCCAUACUAAAAGAAUGCAUUAAAUCUGUCAAAGAAGAUGAGAAUUAUUUUCAACAUUUACUGUUGUCCUUCCAUGUAAAUUUAGUGUGUCCUAAAGUAUUAUAUCUUCUGUCUAUAUUUAGCCCAACUAUAUAAAAGGACAUUUUAGGAAAAGUUGUACAAAUAUUAUGUGAUAAGAUUAACUGAAGUUGGUUUUACAGAGAUAAUUACAGAUAUUUUGAAGUUGUUUUAACCUGAUAACAGUUUUCUUUAUUUAGCUGUUUGAGGUUCUAAUGUUUGUUUAUCACUAUGCAUAGCAAUGACA